ensembl:lncRNA
GUUGGAAGCAACCUUAAAGAUCAUGUAGUUCCAACCCCCUACCAUUUGGCUGGUUGCCACCUGCUAGACCAGGCUGCCCAGGGCUCCAUCCAACCUGGUCUUGAAUGUCUCCAUGGAUGCAUCUCGUUGAAUGCCCACACCCAGCUUGGACUCCUGACUUAAUCUUUUUUCACAGUCCUCUCCUCUGCUUUCUACUGGUGCUAAUUAUGUAUAUACUCUCCAUUCACAAAAGCAAAUGUUACUGAAAUUUGGUAUUUUUAUCACUGCUGAACAUCCAGCUAUGUCUCUAUCAGUGUAUGAAGAUCAUACAGUAGCACUGUAGAUCUGCUUAUUCCUUUCCAGUCCCACGUGGACACAUUUUUUUGUCUCUGCAGCAGCCCUACCUAUUAAUUUUUAGGUUUGUUUACACUUUAGAAUCGCAUCCAUCAAAGCAAUGUCAAUACGAUUAUAGAAAACUCUAUUAGGAAAUGCUUGUUUUUAGCAUUUUCUUUCUUUUGCUGGCAUGGAGAAAAUGUGCGCCUACUGAAGCAGUCACAGCACCACAUGCCCUUCCUGGCCCUGCACAGUGCCAGCUGAGCUCCCAGCAGCAAAAAAACCCCACAGGAUUGCUUGUUGUCGUAAUGCCUGAAUUUGGAAUGCUUUAUUCCAAGCCAUUAGCCACAGAGAUGGACUUGAGAGAUUCGGAAUGAUCUGUGAGCAACUGAUGUGGGUCAUGAUGUGUUUGAAGUAGGUAUUCUGGACCAUCUGUACUGUCUCCCUUUUUAUUUUUCUAUUCACCUUUGGCUUUUUAUAUGUUUAUGUGUAUUUUUGACUUGCACGAUAUUCCUCAGAGAAAAGGACCAGCCCUGAAGACCCAGGGGGUGGUAAGAAGGCUUCUAUGAUACUAUUUCCACUGCUGGUGGGAUGUCAUUAUGGGGACAGACUCUUGAGCAGGGUCUGAUGUGAGAAAGCAAUUGGCCAAAUCUGACCAGUUCUAAGCAGCUUGCUCUGCACUCACAGCAUAUGUAGAUACGGAUUGAUUCAAAGCCUUGUUGACUUCUCUAGAGUUCUUCUAUUAAUUUCCCAAAAUUUGGGAUUUAAUUGUUUGAGAGCAGACAAGAGCAGCUGUUAGUGAAAGACUAACCAAGGCUCAGGUCCCCUGAUGCUUUCUUCUCCCCACUUGCUCGUUGUGGCUCACUGCGCUGGGCCUUGGUCCCACUGGCUGAAUCUGUUCGUGUCAGUGGAGCUCCGCUCUCUGCAGCCAGGAGGGCCUUUCCUUCCUUGUUACACUCAGAUGUUCUCAUGCUGCGUUCUCUUAAGCUAAUAUACAGCUUAAUUUACAUAUGGCAACCCAUGCUUUUCUUUAUCUAGUUAUCCCAUUCACCUGCUGCAUGGAGAUGUCACUGGGCGGUAUGCAAAUCAAACGUAAUACAUUAGCAGUUAUUACAUUAAUAAUAUCCCCAGCUCUUGCAUUGUUUCUGAGCUCAGCUUUAGGAAAGCAGCCUCUGUACCACAGCACAUCUUCCUUUGCUCCUCCAGCAUACCCAGCCCUGCGCAGGAGAAACUGCAGUGCACUGGCACAGUAGCUCCCAUCAAAACGAAAUCACAACAGUUUUAAUCUUAUCAGUCUCAAAUAGUGG